GGGAAAGUGGCUCAGUGGUAGAGUGCUUGCCUCACAUGCAUGAGGUUCUGGGUUCAAUUCCUCAGCACCA
rnacentral:tRNA from 1 species